CCUUCCGUCUCGAUAUUCGAGCUACUCAACAUGAGUCUCCACGAUUCAAUGUUUUUUUGUGGCUUGGCGAUUAUUAUAAUUUUUUAUCUUCAGCACCGAGAAAGAGGGAAGAUUCCCGGCCACCGAGCACAGAACUCGUUGGGUUUCUCUGUGCCAAAGCUUCAAAAAGACGCCACAAACCCGGCCAUUGUGGGAUGGAGAGAGAGGCUGAGCGAGCCUGGUGGACACGUCUGAAUAGUGUGAUGGGAGCGGGGGGGUGGAGAGAGCCGCACACAGGAGGACGGUUUAUCACCGCCGUGUGAGUUGAAUAGCAAUCGGCUAAUAGCUGAAGCGGCUUGCAGGUGUACGAGGACUCUGAAAAAAAGGGGCGUGUAAAACGAAGGGAUUUUUUAAAAAAGGGAUAAAAAGAAGAGGGUGAGACCAAAAGAGGGCGAAGUGUUCCAGAGACACUCUGACCCACUUUGAUUCAACCGUUGGCAGCGGGCGUCUGAUUGAUCGCAUAACGAACCGGCAGCAGAACCCAGACACACAGACACCUUUCAAACGAGCCACACAGUGAAGACAUUUACGGCUGGAAGGAAACCAACGUCAUCCAAUCAACCGAUCUGCAGUGCAAAUUUAAGAAGAAUUUCUUUGGUCCAAUUUACAGCGUAAAAUCUAAUUCUGCAAAAUGUGCAACUACAUAAAACAGGAAGCCGCGGCGGACAUUCCUCACAGGGACGCUAAAGAACCUGAACACAGCCAAAGAGUCCAGACGGGACUCUUCAGACGAAGCAGCGGCGUCUGCAGGAAGCUGCGGGCGCAAAACAACACGGCGAGGAGGAAGCGACCCGGUGGAUCACGGCGGGACGUCCCACUCGCCUGUGGGGGGGGGCUUUUGUUUUUUGGGCAUUCGUGGGCCACGAGAGAACAAAACAGCUUUCGCAGGCACCACAUCCUCGUUCCUGACGCAAGGACCAUCGGGGGGAGAUUCACUCACCUGGGCGUAGUCCCUCUCCACCGCCGCCCGCUUUUGGCUAAAAGUCCUAAAAAAAAAAAAA